rnacentral:lncRNA from 1 species
GCGGCGUCGGGCGCGGAGACGAGCGGAGCCCAGGAGGACAGCUGCAUUCUUGGUGUUUCUCUGGAGUUGCCCACCUGAAACUGGAUGCAGAACAAGGGUAAAUCUUCUGAAAUGGCGACAUCCUCUCAGCGGCAAGGCGAAGGCCACAGUCAGCUUCACCUGCGCAGGAUUAGCAGUCGAACCACAGUUCCCGGCAUUGCUGAUGUGAUCCAUUUCGUCAAGACUGUAACGCUGAUCGGCAGGAAUAGGGACGUGGUGGACUGCUUCCUCAGCUGCACCAGCCCGGCCCACACUGACUACAUCUCCCGCGUCCACGCACGGAUCAUCCGAUCCUCCGGCGCCUACGAACUUGUGGAUUCCAGUCUGACGGGGAUCUACGUGAACGACGUUCGGAUCCAGGAUAAAGUGACUUUGAAAGAAGGCGAUACGGUUGCGUUUGGCCAUCCGGCUGGGAGAAGCUACGUGCCGGGAGACCGUGUCCGGCAGCCGAAUUCCCCCUUGUACUUCCUGUUUGAGCAUUGCCAUUGUGUCAUGGAGAGGAUGCCGAAGCCACCCAGUGCGCGAGCCCAGCAGCUUCCUGUGCCAGCACCAGCCGGAGUUCCCCUGCCAGCCAGCUUGAAAUUGGGACCUGAGGAAAAGGCAGCGCUUCCCAAGAUGCCCUGGGAAGCAGCAGGCCCAGGAUGGCCUCCGGUUUUGCCUUCGUUGCCCAUCACUUCCUCCGGAAGGACUCCAGUGUUGCCGGAAGGGUCCAGUGCAGGCGCACCAGCUCCUCCUGCACCGGAAGAUGCUUGGGAGCCUCCUCGCCAACCCCGGCGCUCCACCUCACCGGAAUACGGAGGCCUUGAGGAGGGGUCCCGUUCCCCUGUGGAAUAUUCUCCCCCGGGGACCCGUGUCUUUUUGCCUCAGGAAGGUUCAGGGUCAAGUUGCUCAGAUUCCCCUGGCAAGCAGGAGAAUGCUUCGGUGGGCAGCACAGGUUCCCCUUGGGAGUUUGUGUGCGGAGAAGAAGGGAGCAGUCCGGGUGCCUCGUGCCCCUCAUCUCCAAGCCCAAAAGAACUGGGUUCUGCUGGUUCAGAGUCUGAUGGANAAAUGGAGGUGGAUCGGAGCAGCACGGAGGCCCCUGAAUACGGAGGGAAGUCAGUUUCCGAACCCGGCAGACAGACUCGAGUGGCAGGAGAGAGAGAAGCUGCGAGGCCCCUUUGGCCGGCAUACGCUCGGUGCUCUUUCNAGGGCAGAGUGGAAAGUGAAGGCCUCACACAGGAGCCCCAGGAGAAGCAGGAUCCCUCUCCAAAAGCGUCCCCAGGGCCCCCCGGCUCAGCAGGGAGUGUGGCCAGCGAUCUCGGGCCGUUGCCCGCAGCUGAAUCAGGAAACNCGCAGCAAGAUUCAGCGCGUGAAACUCCUGGUGGUUUGCCUUCUGCAGAAGACCCNGAUUAUGGAAGGGUUCCUAAGUCAGCAGGAGAAGAGCCGUUGCGCUUGCAUGAUGGGUGCGCAACCUUACUGCCAGGGAAAUGGGCGCGCNCAGUCCAAAUUGAAGGGAGCGCGGAAGAGAGCUCGCAAGGAAACAGAUCCGAUGGCGAAGGAGGCCUGCAAAGGGCAUCUCAGGNGCGUGGCGACUUGCUAGCCACAGGCCAUGGUGCUUGGCUUAGAAGCGAGGGGGCUCCUGUGCCAGAUCCAGCUGCCGACUCUCACGACGGCUUUACGGACGACUGCUGUGCAGCGGGUGGCGGCCAGGCCGUGGCAAAGGCUUCUGCCGAGGGAACGCUGGCUGCUGAGGAGGUCGACACAGACACGGCUCGCGAGAUGCAUCCUCAGCCCUCGCCCAGCCCUUCAACCGCAGGCUGCCCGGCGGAAGACGGCCGUUCCAAGGGGGCCCUCUCUGAGCAGACCGGAGAGCAUCCNGGGGAGUCUUCUGGGGCCGUACAGGGGAAGGCGGCUUCAGGGGGUGAUGGAGAGGAGAGGCCUGAGGNGGCUGCCCUGCCUCCAGUUGAAUCUGCCUUCAGGGAGAGAGGGGGGGCAUCUGGGGAGCGUCCUAGGACCCCUGUUUCUGAACUACUGGCAAACUCCCGNGAGGUCCUCUCCCCUAGAAACGAGAGCCCCUUUGCAAGAGGGAAGAGGGAGAAGGCUGAUGCCACCGGGGGGAAAUGGGAAAGGACGGUGGGUGGACACGCUGGUGUUGGCCCAGGCCCAGAGGACCACGUUAGGGGUGCCACGCANGAGCCUGGAGAGGAGGAUGGGGUCCAUGAUAGCUUCCUUCUGGGACCUGAACUGCCCAGAAGCGAUGACAAGAGGCAUGGAGAAGAGCAACCAGGGGAAGGGGUGGAACUGGAGGAGGAGGCAGGCAGGCAAGGGGCACAAAAGGACCGGGUUGCUGUCAGUGAACAGCAGGGCUCUGACGAAGGUGCCCUGGACAGAGAGGCAGGUCCAGGUGUGGCGCAGGAGAGAAGGGACUCUGCCCGCGCCGAAGACGCUCUUGCCAGAAGCCACGGAACAACGGAGCCCUCCUGUGAGUUGGCAAGGAGAGGCAACAGGGAAGACGCNAAACUGGGUUCCCAGCUACAGGCGACAGAAGCCGAGGAGGGCUCGGAUCCUGAAGAGCGCUGCCCUUGGGGUCCUCCUGCUGGCCCUGAGGGCGAGGGGGAUAUAGGCCCAGGUGGGGGCACAGGGAGCAGCAAGGAGAGCGCAGCGAGCACGAGGCCAGUGGCAGAUCAUUUGUUGGCGAAGGCAGAGGGGGGUUCCGGGCAAAGUUGCAUCCAGACAGCCGUACCCGAUGGACGCGUCGAGCUUCAUGGUGCCUCUGACUGCCUGGGGCGUCGGCGUGAGUCUCCUACACCUGUGGGCCAGCAGCCACCACCAGUGUCUCAUGAGGCCAACCUUGAGGGUCAAGAAAAAGACCUGAAGGUGAGGCUCCAGGAACUGGAUAAUGGGGACCAGCUGCCCUGUCACGCUGCAGGGGGGGGGCCAAGAGAAACCCAACAGGAGCUGAGAGGCUUUUCAGGUGGCGAUGAACUCUGUUUNCGCAUUGCUGACUUUGAAGCUGAAAAGGAAGACGGCGGUGGCGCCAUUUUUGGAGCUAAACUUCGGAGAACAGCUGCGACUGCCACUCCUGGUGCGGACGUGCCCUCAGGCAGCGCCCCGGGGAGCAGCGCAUGGCAUGCAGAAGCUCCAGGGGAGUCNGGAAUCCAAGGGUCGCGNGAGGGGAUCCUGCAAGACAGCCAGNCUAGGCCCNCGAAGGAGUCCGAAGNGUUGGCCCCGGGCUCGGGUCAGGAACACCCUUCCGGCUACGAAUCCCAUUGUGAUGACGCUGCUGCUGCUGCUCCGGCUCAUCGCUGGGAUGCGACAGUGGGUGAAGAACCGCCUCUUUUGCUGGGCAGUGCAGUGCGGGGGGGUCACAGGGAGGCUCAAGCGGCUACAGGCGCAGAACUCGCGCCUCGAGAUCUUUCUGCAGAAGCUGGUUGCCGCCCCGAAAGUAACGCCACGUUCGGCUCCGAGGAAGGAGUCGUAGAUCGUGUAGGUUUGCUGGAGGAAGAAACCGGUUUGGAUCAUGACCAGCAUAACCAGCAAGUGGGCGAAAGACUGAGGACCUCAUGUGCCCCUUGCGGAGUCGGAGGCGCAGCUGAAGAAACGCCAGCGCACCUCUGUUCAGAACCAGGUGCGCACGCCCCGGAAGCAGCAGUGGCAGCAACAGGCCUUCCCGGAGAAAAGGAAGAGCUGCAACCCCUGGGAGCUGCGCGUNGGCACGAGGAAGGCCCCGCGUCCUUGGCAGAAGACUGGAGGUUCGAUUCUCCUCAUUCCAAGCAGCGUCCCGAGGCACCUUUGCAGCUGCAGCCAGAGCUCAGCAGCAGUUCGUCCAGAAAAAGAAAUUUUAACCAGGAUGAAGCCUCAGUGGCGGGGGAUGCGGAAGAUUAUGCAUGGGGUCCAAAGAAGGUCUGUCCACAGGAUUCUGGUUUUGACAAAGCUACAGGGGGGGAACUUAACCCAAUUGCCUGGCAGAAAAAAGGAGAGUCCAUUGCCCAAAUAGUGAGAGAUUAUUUCAAGAGCCUGCCCUGCUCUGGCGAAAGGGAGGCUGAAAGCAGCCAAGUGCGGCCGGGCACCGGCCCCAAUGAUGCUGCCAGGGACAAAGGCAGUGAACCUGCAGGAGCGUUAGGAGCUGAGGAAGACGCCGGCUGCAGAGAACCCUGUCCAGCUGAGGUUCGGGACUGCCCGGUGCAGGGCCAGGAUCCGGCACGUGAGGACAGGCGCUUGCCCGAUGGUGCCCGGUCCAGUCAGAUGUUGUCUCCUGCUCAGCCGCAAGANAGUGACUUGGAAAGCGAUAUUCCAGAGAGCAUGUGGGAACCCUGUUUCCCUGAAGAGGGUUUUGCCUUGACAAAAUCUGAUUCACCUGCCGUAGAGUCGGUGGGUUUGCCUAGUGGGAAGAGCAGUGGCGCUUCNGCCAACCGUUCUGGAGAAUCGUCCCCUGAGCUGCGUGGCAAGAAUCCUUCUGGAGGAAGAGCUAGUGCGGAUUCUGCCCAGGUUGCCAAACCUGCUGACACAAGGGGGGGCCUGGCAUUCCCCUGUGCUACAGACUGGCCNGUUGAAGAGCCACAGGUGCCACACUUGCUGCUUGGAUCUCCUGGAGAGGGCAGCANGGCCGCCACACUUAAUGCGGAGCANGGGGCCAGGCCCUGCCGCCGGGUGGCUUCGGCUGACGGCGGCUCCCCCAGAAUGCAGGACGAGGCUUCCAGUACAGAAGACUCCGAACGGGCCGCCCUGCGCCUGAGUCCCACGCGUGUCAAGAGAGAGCGAGAUGACGGUCCCAGCGAGAUGCCCGUGGCAGAGGGAGCCUUUCCCCAGACGAGUUACGGGGACCUGGCAUGCCAAGGCACGGGACAGGGAGCUGCUUCUGACCCGUUGUCUCCACUAGGG